CUACGGGCGGCUCCAGUGGGGAAUAUUGCACAAUGGACGAAAGUCUGAUGCAGCAACGCCGCGUGGAGGAUGACACAUUUCGGUGCGUAAACUCCUUUUAUAGGUCAAGAUAAUGACGGUAGCCUAUGAAUAAGCGCCGGCUAACUCCGUGCCAGCAGCCGCGGUAAUACGGAGGGCGCAAGCGUUACUCGGAAUCACUGGGCGUAAAGAGCGUGUAGGCGGGUUAAUAAGUCAGAAGUGAAAUCCAAUGGCUCAACCAUUGAACUGCUUUUGAAACUGUUAACCUAGAGUAUGGGAGAGGUAGAUGGAAUUUCUGGUGUAGGGGUAAAAUCCGUAGAGAUCAGAAGGAAUACCGAUUGCGAAGGCGAUCUACUGGAACAUUACUGACGCUGAGACGCGAAAGCGUGGGGAGCAAACAGGAUUAGAUACCCGCGUAGUC
rnacentral:rRNA from 1 species